UUUUCAACUCCCCUUCCCUCCAUCCAAACACACACAUACACACAGAAACGUACACUGACACAAAGAUAUCUUGCGUCCCCAACCCCAACCACCCCUCUCCCAUGGCUGAGCAGCAGGAGUCUGCGCGAUUCCCCACAAGCGACGUUGUGCCGGCGGUGCAGAAGGUGCGCGACGAUUACAUGAAGUACGUGUCUGAUGUUUUCACGGAUGAGCUGGUCGAGUUGUACGAGUUGGACGGAAGCAACGACGCUGUGAAGCAGCUGACAGCGUGCCUCGAGUGCGGCGUCGCCGUGUAUGGCCACCCGAUCGCUGUGGACGACCCGAGCCUUAGGUAGUGUCGAGCAUCCACGGCACAAAAAAACUUGUACACACCGAUGCUCUGCCGGCUCGCGCACACCGCGUACAACUCGCAGCGGCGAGUGCGUUUUCUAACUGAAGACUGAGCGGCUCGGGUUAUAGUACACCCCACCGAACGCAUGCCCCCUUGUACACUCCCAGCUCGUAUAAGCUGACUAGCGCGUCAGCUUUAAGUUUCGGUAUCCAUCCUUUACCACGCAGCGAACAAAUGUCACCACGAACGUGGGUGUGAUCAUCGUGGCUUCUUCGAGAGCGUCCCCUCUUCAUGUGCUCUCUCCUAGCACGAUCACCGCUGGCUGCGCGACGCAGAUGUCUAUCACGUCUUUUAGCGAUCACCGAAUCUUUGCGUGGGUGUCUCCUUUGGCUUGCCGCGAAGUGAAGAGGCUGGACGAGGAGGAUGGUGCACGCCUGAUCGGCGUGCACUACACCAGCCGUGCAAGAGACGCACCCCUCCUCGCGUGCUCUCUCCCGCUCUUACGGGUCUUCGAUGACGCGUUCGCUGCUGACUCGGUCGCUUCUCGCCCCGCCCCCUCCCUCUGCUCUUUUUAG
rnacentral:misc_RNA from 1 species